UAGUCCACGCCGUAAACGAUGAGUACUAGGUGUCGGGAUCGCGAGGUCUCGGUGCCGCAGCUAACGCAUUAAGUACUCCGCCUGGGGAGUACGCACGCAAGUGUGAAACUCAAAGGAAUUGACGGGGACCCGCACAAGCAGCGGAGCAUGUGGUUUAAUUCGAAGCAACGCGAAGAACCUUACCAAAACUUGACAUCCUACUGACCGGCUCUUAAUGGAGUCUUUCCUUCGGGACAGUAGUGACAGGUGGUGCAUGGUUGUCGUCAGCUCGUGUCGUGAGAUGUUGGGUUAAGUCCCGCAACGAGCGCAACCCUUAUCUUUAGUUGCCAGCAGUUAGGCUGGGCACUCUAGAGAGACUGCCGAGGAUAACUCGGAGGAAGGUGGGGAUGACGUCAAAUCAUCAUGCCCCUUAUGUUUUGGGCUACACACGUGCUACAAUGGCCGGUACAAAGAGCAGCAAGAGGGUGACCUGGAGCAAAUCUUUAAAGCCGGUCUCAGUUCGGAUUGGU
rnacentral:rRNA from 1 species